rnacentral:rRNA from 1 species
UUCGCAAUGCCCGAAAGGGUGACGAAGCGACGCCACGUGGGUGAGGAAGGCCUUCGGGUUGUAAAGCCCUGUCAGGAGUUAAGAAAUGUAAGUGUGCUAAUAUCGCAUUUACUUGACGAAGGCUCCAAAGGAAGUCACGGCUAACUCUGUGCCAGCAGCCGCGGUAAUACAGAGGUGGCAAGCGUUGUUCGGAAUUAUUGGGCGUAAAGAGCACGUAGGUGGGUUUGUAAGUCAGAUGUGAAAGCCUUCUGUUCAACGGGAGAAUUGCAUCUGAAACCGUAAGUCUUGAGUAUAGGAGGGGAGAAUGGAACUUCUGGUGGAGCGGUGAAAUGCGUAGAUAUCAGAAGGAACGCCGGCGGCGAAAGCGAUUCUCUGGCCUAUUACUGACACUCAGUGUGCGAAAGCUAGGGGAGCAAACGGGAUUAGAUACCCCGGUAGUCCUAACCGUAAACGAUGGGCACUAAGUAGAGGGGUUUU